GGCGCUUUGGCGGAGUGGUUAACGCGAUGCCCUGCUAAGGCAUUCCCUUCGGGGGCGUGUGUUCGAAUCACACAGGCGUCG